AGUUUUUUUAGUUUUUAAAGUUAAGCAUAAAGUGAAAGUCGUACAAAAUAAUAAUACUUCCCCAAGAUACACAAGGCAUACAAAUACUUCUGCAAGAUCCAUCCAAGACACAUCUGUUGAUUGUUUCACAAGAGCCGCAAGCAGAGAGUCCAUAUUCAUAAAUACCUGGCAAAAAAAAAACUACAAAACAUACGGCUGUAAACUGUGCUGGCACAAGAAGAUACAAUUAUACUUCAUUUUACCGCUUUUCUACACAAACCUACAUAAAUACGGACACUCUACGUCCAUAUUCAUAAAUACCUGGCAAAAAAAAAACUACAAAACAUACGGCUGUAAACUGUGGUGGCACAAGAAGAUACAAUUAUACUUCAUUUUACCGCUUUUCUACACAAACCGACAUAAAUACGGACACUCUACGUCCAUAUUCAUAAAUACCUGGCGAAAAGAAAACUACAAAUCGUACGGCUGUAAACUGUGGCGGCGCAAUGAGGUACAACACGGCUUCUUCGGAUAGUUUUUCUACACAAACCUACAUAAAUACGGGCAUCUGAUGAAUCUGGGGGCUUCGAGUAGAAUCGCAAGUAGAACCAAUACUUUGUUUUGACACUGAUUCGGCUAUCGGAAAUUAGAUACUGUGGUUAUCGGGUGAAUGGAUAGGAAUAUUAUAUUUUGCUACUAAUAAUUAUAUUACUCGUGAUUAUAUUUUGAUACUAAAACACACAAAGAUGUUUAAUUGUUUGACUCAACCAGAAUGGGGUAGGACUCUAAAAGUUUCCAGCAAAAUGCUGAUUUACUUUCGGGGACAUGCAUUGAAUAUCCCCAUUCCCCUUUUGGAUAAUGUUCCCCAACUAAGAAUUCUUUUCGAUAUACUCGCAGAUGUAUAAAACCCCCCGAGGGCAUGCUAUUAUUCAAGAUUUCAUCUUUAGUUUUACAAAUAUUUCCAGUAAACACAUGUACGUGUGUAUGUAUAUAUGAAUAUGUAUACUAUUACGACAAACAAUAUAUAAAUAUGGGAAUAUGGAUUAAACCUAGAACUUGUUGUUGGGAAUGACUCAUCCCUCGGCAGCAACGGGUACGUUGAGGACGGGCUUUGCCUCCAGAGCUGGUUCCUGGGCAGGCUGUGACUGGACGAGCACCUUGGUGGGCAGGAGAUGCUUGAGGGGCUCUAGGAUGCGCGCCUGCUGCAGAUAGGUGAGCUGCUGCUGCUCCAGCUGCAGGAGGCUGAUGCCCAGGUGAACGGUGAGCGACUGGGGCGGGAAGAUGCCAUGGAUGCACAGUUCAUAAAAAUACGAAUCAACGCAAAAUUCAAAAGAAAAUUUGAAACAAGCAAUCCAUGCCCCACAAAACCCCAGAUGUCAAAUUCGUUGUCGUGUGAGAAUACUGGAAAAAUAUGUACGGUGAGGCUUGUAGCUGCUGUGAGGAGGCCUAGGGUUUUUGGGGUCCGCCGAAAAUUAGGCACCGUCUAACGAGAGGCAAGACAAACUCUCUUUAACAGUCGGCAAAGAGGGCCUGGGAUCAAAGAGUGGGUCAGAGCCAGGUCAGACUUCCUCGUCGAAAGGAGAGCGAGUUCGAAGUCGAAGUCGGACAAGAUAAACGGCUAUAAAUAGAUGGCAUUGGACGCCAUUGCGGGAUUCCAAGCCUGGUCGACAGCAUUGGAUUUUGUUCUCCAAGUGUCCUCUAUAGUGUCAGCCGUAGUUGAAUAUUCAAAGAAAGAAAAAAGAGAAAAACCAUAUAAAUACAAUAACUAGUGAAAAGUAGCCAGGAAGUGAGACGGUGAUUAGUGAAACCUCUUCGAUACACCCUUUCGACGGGUCACCCGUUUGGGUCUUAAAUUGGAGGAGGCUCGUCUUCCACGACCGCCAGCUGAAAUUCGUAGAAAUUCGCCGGAGCUUUGGGUCGUCGCCUUGGAGCAGUUCGGCGAGCCAGAGAGGAGAGGCCAACUAGUGCCCGGCAGACGGCAGCCGCGUCGGCUUGUUCAUCGCUCCGCGUAUGCGUCCAUACCCCGUGCGCAUGGGAGGAGGCAAAGAAAAAAAAGUGUUCUUCAGUGGCGACAAAUAGUGGCAGAUCGAGGGCCCAAAUCGGAAGCGCUUCGUCGAUGGAGGUUCCUGUAAGUCGUUCAAUUGAAUAAAUAAAAUAUGUAUAUGAAAGUUCGAAAAAUAUAUAAAAAUAUGAAAGUUCGCCACGGGAGCGCACCCAAUUAGUGGGUUGAAAAGAGAGGGCAUCAGAAAGUCACCUCUUGAUUCUUUUCCCUACGCCUCUCGUACAUUACACCUUCUCUUUUGGUGGAUCGCUAUGCCAGCAAUUGCUCACAUAAAAUUUUCUUACAUUUCUUUUCUUUUCACUCCUAUUCAAAUCAUCUGUUCUCUCUCAUAUCUAGCCUAAGCUUCUUAUUUAUUUACAGUACUUUACGCAAAUUAUUUAAAAUUAAGUCGUAGCCAAUACUCGGGAAGGGCAAAUGAGAACAUUAAAUUACUGGGGAUCACUAAUUUUAGUCAUUAGAAAUAAAUAAACGUUUAUAAUGUCUGAGUAGAAGAAAUAGUGUUUGAUCUCCUGCAGCAAGCCCCUGUAGGUCUCGCAUAAUAUAAGUGGUCUUGUAACAAAUUAUGUGGUAUCGGGCACAGCAAGACCAAGGUGUUGUGCUUUCCGUCCGGUUUCAUAUGGCUUAUUGACACGCAUUAAAUGUAGAAUAAUAAUAGGGUAGGCCUCAGCUUAGGAGCAAAUAAACAAGAACACCACACUCGUGGCCGACGAGCCAGUAGCCGGAAAAUUGACAGCGUGCCGCUUCAAGCUGAGAGGACCAUCUCGCCUACAUCGUGGUUGCACGUGACAAAUAUCAGUAUAGUUCGGAGCGUCGGAAGUUAAACACAUAAAAAUAAAAUUCUAAAUUUCAAAAUUUUGUAAAAUAUUUAUUUCGGUUUUUUAUUUCGGUUUUUUUUUUUUCAAUUAGGUUUAAGCAUAAAAUUCCAUAUUCAUAAAUACCUGGCGAAAAGAAAACUACAAAUCGUACGGCUGUAAACUGUGGCGGCGCAAUGAGGUACAACACGGCUUCUUCGGAUAGUUUUUCUACACAAACCUACAUAAAUACGGGCAUCUGAUGAAUCUGGGGGCUCCGAGUAGAAUCGCAAGUAGAACCAAUACUUUGUUUUGACACUGAUUCGGCUAUCGGAAAUUAGAUACUGUGGUUAUCGGGUGAAUGGAUAGGAAUAUUAUAUUUUGCUACUAAUAAUUAUAUUACUCGUGAUUAUAUUUUGAUACUAAAACACACAAA